GCUAACCAGAGAGAUGAGGAAGAGGAGGAGAGGCGCGACUGGAGCGGCGCAGCGUCGGCUUCCCGGUGGUGGACGCUGCUAGCAACUGCAGGCGACGCUGGCCGACGGACCGGACUCGGGUUUCCCAAAAGUCAGGCUGGAGAGGUUCGGCACCACCCAAGACCACUCAGCAGAACCCUCAUCACCCGCCCACCCCCAUCUUCUGGCAUCAUCAUCUUCCUGGCAACUGGCCCGUUUCGGUCACUCCCUGCCGUCGGCCCGGUCCCGUCUCAUCCUCACGGCCCCUCUGAGGUGCUUUUGUGUACAGGUGGGCAAACCUCACCGAGCAGUCCCUUGAUGAAACUCUCUUCAAAUCACUCAGUUCGAGUGCACCAUCUGUUUCCUGCCGGAGCCCCGAUCACAUUGUGCUCUGUUGUGCUCAUCCAGGACUCCAGAGUUUCCAGAGUUUCCAGAGUUUCCAGAGUUUCCACUUAAACGAGACUGGGGUGAUCCAUUCUGGCUGGAAGGGGCACAGUGGGGGCUUGUCCCGGAGCUGUGUCUGCAAGCAGAAACAGCUGAGCGUGGCGGGCUGCGUUUUCCUGAUUUCCAGUCUGCUCCUGGGCGGAGGCCAUUACGUCCACGCGGACUGCUCUCUCCACACCUGACCCAGAGGACGCCUUCACCCUGAUCACAAGACCAAAGGGCCGGCUCCCUCCCCCACAUAAACUUCCUCACGAAACGUAUUCCAGUCCACCUUGACCCCAGGCCAGCAGCUGAAUGGCAGGAACAACAGGCAGGCAAAGUACUAGACUGGAGACCUGGCUGGUUAUAUACUUUGCCAGUGUCUUGCUGGGUGACCUUGAGCAAGUCACCUUUCCUCUAAGGACCUCCGUUUCCUCUCUCUGGGAUAUGAGGAAGGACAUCGGAUCAGGAUGAAAGCUUGAGCCAAGUUUCUCCCUCCACCCCAGGUCUGGCCAGGCCUUGGUCCUGUGAACAAGAACUUCUGGGGUCCUUUAUUUUGUAUUAAUUUGCAUAUGUUUGCAUAUGUGCUAUAAGAGGCACCGACUACAUUUCAUUCAUAGAAAGAAUUAAGACUGUCAUCUAAUUGAUGUCCAGGAUGGAAAAGACCCAAGGGCUCGUGGUUCCACUUAAAUCUUAGCAGCGAGAGGCCUUCAGUAACUAACCUUCCAACCCCCUCCUUUUAGAAAUGAGUAACUGAGCCUCAGAGAGGGAAAGUGACAAGGCCAAGUUCACCAGGAGGUGGCCCUUGGAGGAGCAGCAGGCUUCCUCCAGGCUUCCCACGGUCUGCCAGACGGUUGCACGAGGCACCUCACUUCUCUCCAUGCAGGGUAUGAGCAGAGGGGCUUCAUUUUCUUCUGAGGCCCUUCUUUGCACCCUAGCAUAACAAAGCCUGCUGGCUUGGCAGCCUCCGCAACCACUACAGGAAACCAAAGUGCAUAGAAAGGCAGAUGGGAGUGGAAAAUCCUCUCAGCGAUGUUAGAUCGUUGCUUCUACCUGUUCUAAAAAUAACCCGGCUUAUUAGAAAUUGAUAGAGGACAAGGUAACCCGCAAGUUGUUCCACUGAGGCUGGGGAGGGGGGCCGGCGUGUUUCUGCCCGAGCCGAAAGGGAGCUGGGAGAAGCUGCCGGGAAGCGAUGCGCUGACUGGACCCACAGAGCUCAGCGUCUGGCCGAUGGCAGCAGAGGGGCGAAGACACACCUGGAUGCUGCCUUCAGGAGAUCUUAGUCUACAGAGGGGAAGAUGGAUACCAAAAGUCAACAAAA